rnacentral:rRNA from 1 species
AGCGAACGCUGGCGGCAGGCCUAAUACAUGCAAGUCGAGCGCACCUUCGGGUGAGCGGCGGACGGGUGAGUAACGCGUGGGAACGUGCCCUUUGGUACGGGAUAACUGAGGGAAACUUCAGCUAAUACCGAAUGUGCCCUACGGGGGAAAGAUUUAUCGCCAGUGGAGCGGCCCGCGUUGGAUUAGGUAGAUGGUGAGGUAAAGGCUCACCAAGCCUACGAUCCAUAGCUGGUCUGAGAGGAUGAUCAGCCACACUGGGACUGAGACACGGCCCAGACUCCUACGGGAGGCAGCAGUAGGGAAUCUUGCGCAAUGGGCGAGAGCCUGACGCAGCCAUGCCGCGUGAAUGAUGAAGGUCUUAGGAUUGUGAAAUUCUUUCACCGGGGAAGAUAAUGACGGUACCCGGAGAAGAAGCCCCGGCUAACUUCGUGCCAGCCGCCGCAGUAACAC